rnacentral:tRNA from 1 species
GGGGUUGUAGCUCAGUAGUAGAGUACUUGCCUGGCAAGUGUGAGGCACUGAGUUCGAUUCUCAGCACCA